AGGGAAUAUUAGUAAUGGGCGACAGCCUGAACUAGCAACGCCGCGUGUGCGAAGAAGGCCUUCGGGUCGUAAAGCACUUUUUGAGAGGAUGAGGAAGGACGGUACUCUCAGAAUAAGUCUCGGCUAACUACGUGCCAGCAGCGCGGUAACACGUAGGAGGCAAACGUUAUCCGGAUUUACUGGGCGUAAAGCGCGUGUAGGUGGUUUGGUAAGUAGGGCGUGAAAGCUCCUGGCUCAACUGGGAGAGGACGUUCUAAACUGCCAAGCUUGAGGAUGGUAGAGGGAGGCGGAAUUCCGGGUGUAGCGGUGGAAUGCGCAGAUAUCCGGAGGAACACCAGUGGCGAAGGCGGCCUCCUGGACCACUCCUGACACUCAGACGCGAAAGCUAGGGUAGCAAACGG
rnacentral:rRNA from 1 species